GUCUACGGCCAGGUCGCCCUGAACGUGCCCGAUCCCGUCUGAUCUCGGAAGCUAAGCAGGGUCGGGCCUGGUUAGUACUUGGAUGGGAGACCACCUUGGAAACCAGGUGCUGGAGGCA
rnacentral:rRNA from 1 species